UGCGGAGUGGAGCAGCCCGGUAGCUCGCGAGGUUCAUUCCCUCGAGGUCGUAGGUUCAAAUCCUACCUCCGCCA
rnacentral:tRNA from 1 species